CGGAAUCGCGUUUACCGGAUGUUUUCGCAAUUUCGCGGGGGAAAAAAAUGUGUGAAUGCUUGCCGGGGACGAGCUGCGAAGUUGA
rnacentral:pre_miRNA from 1 species